rnacentral:lncRNA from 10 species
GGGGAGAUGCGGGAAGGGAGGGUGCUGCCUAACGACCUCCUAUGUUAACCUGGGCGUCUUCUCCCCAGAGCCCCUGCGCGACGCUUGGCUUCACCAGCAUUGUGAUCGGUAUUCCGAUGAGCUCUCAGGACUCCCGGUGAUGCCAGGGAGCCGUCCUGAGCAACAGCUGAAAUCUCCUUCUGCAGCCUUCACAUAGGAGAAAGCCGUCCUUGUGAUGCUUCUGUUCGCCGUGGAAGGGAUCUGACAUGCUACAGGCAGCUCCCCUUGGCCAAGCUCAUGAACUCCGGAGGGACUAGAGUAUACAAUCUGCACAGAGAAGUUCUUGUCUGGCUCCGAGUGUCCGUAUCGCGUGGCUGUAUCAUUUCAGAAAGCGUAUUCAAGGAGCGGUAAAUCCAGCAUUUAUUCUAAUUCCUUCACAUUUUAUGGCAGGGCUGAACCAACCAUAAAACAGAUUGACAGAUAUAGGGAGAACGAAAUCCUGUAUUUUACAAGCUAACGACUUUAUUUCAUUUCAUGUCAACGCCAAGGGUUGAUGAAUGGUUCUGGAAUUUCUGAACUGAGACGUUCCCCCCAGCUCCAGAGAUGGAGCAUUGCGAGAGCAAUGGUAGGAGUCCCAGCCCAAGCCAUCUAAUCUCCCCAAAUUACUCCCUAUUCAUUUUUCUUUGAGAUGGUUUAUUUAAUGAAGGCUGGAUACUCAGGUCUCCGGCUCUGCAGUGCCACCUAGAGGCUAAGCUGCUCCAGGAAGGUUAAAAAAUACUUCCACGACAAGGAGACAACAGUAAGCCCCAAAAUGAAGUUGGAGUUGUCUUUUCAUCAGAGGUUGAAGUCAUGAUCUUUGGAGCUGCAGAUAUUCCGGGAGGCCUUUUCCACGCCUGGGAGAGACGAGUAGAGACUCCGUGCAACCGGCUGCCAAUGAGGACCCAGGGCCGUGCCCUCCAAGGGGCAUCUUGCACCCUCUUCCCGUGACUCAGGUCUCUGCGUUACCCAGUUCUGGCCAAGGUGGGGAGGGUAGUGGACCGGCUUCUUCCCUAGAUUA